rnacentral:lncRNA from 1 species
UAUGAGUCAAGUUGUAGGAUCAAGAUCACAAUUAAGAAAGACUCAAUUAAACUAUAAAACUUCGUCUUGAGCUUGAAUCUCGUUGUAUAUCAAUUGUGCGCUUGUUUCUUGAACUUCGUCAUAUAUCAAUUUUCGCUUCGUUUGUCAUUCAUCAAAACCUAUACAAAAGAACACACGUUUUAGUAUAUUGCAUUGAGAACGUGUUUCCAACAAUA